rnacentral:rRNA from 2 species
UACAAUGACUCUCGGCAACGGAUAUCUCGGCUCUUGCAUCGAUGAAGAACGUAGCGAAAUGCGAUACUUGGUGUGAAUUGCAGAAUCCCGUGAACCAUCGAGUCUUUGAACGCAAGUUGCGCCCGAAGCCAUUAGGUUGAGGGCACGCCUGCCUGGGUGUCACA